rnacentral:rRNA from 1 species
UACGGAGGGUGCAAGCGUUAUCCGGAUUCACUGGGUUUAAAGGGUGCGUAGGCGGGUAAUUAAGUCAGUGGUGAAAUCUUCAAGCUUAACUUGGAAACUGCCAUUGAUACUAUUUAUCUUGGAUGUUCUGGAGGUCAGCGGAAUAUGUCAUGUAGCGGUGAAAUGCUUAGAUAUGACAUAGAACACCUAUUGCGAAGGCAGCUGACUACGGAAAUAUUGACGCUGAGGCACGAAAGCGUGGGGAUCAAACAGG